UACGUAGGGGGCAAGCGUUGUUCGGAUUUACUGGGCGUAAAGGGCGCGUAGGCGGCCUCCGCAAGUCAAUUGUGAAAUCUCCGAGCUUAACUCGGAAAGGUCAACUGAUACUGCGGGGCUAGAGUGCGGAAGGGGCAACUGGAAUUCUUGGUGUAGCGGUGAAAUGCGUAGAUAUCAAGAGGAACACCUGCGGCGAAGGCGGGUUGCUGGGCUGACACUGACGCUGAGGCGCGAAAGCUAGGGGAGCGAACGGG
rnacentral:rRNA from 1 species